AGGGGCCCCGGAGCCAAAGGGGCCCCGGAGCCAAAGGGGCCCCGGCCCUCCCAGGGGCUGCUGUCGCCUCGGCCGGAGCCGUGGCGCAGAGAGCGGUGUCCCGUCAGUGCCGGCGAGGGACGGAACCGGGCAGGGGGAAGGCCCGGUGGGUGCAGUUAUGGCUGGUCAGCCUGAAGAAGGUCGUGGGGAGACCUCGCAGCACCUUCCAGUUAUCUGAAGGGGCCUACAGGGAACCCAGAGAGGGACUCUUCAUCAGGAACUGCAGGUGUGCCAGAUGCUGUCAUUCAAGGGUUUAUGGCUGUCAUUCCUGCGGCUCAACAGAAAAUCAGGGGACAGGAGAUGGACUGCAAUGAUUGUCCUGAUUCAGGAUAAAGUGUUGGUGGAUCUUGACCUCAACAUAUGCCAGUUUUUGACUUCAUUUAGAUUAAAUAUUUGGAAAAAAUCCUCUGCUUUGAAGGUGAUGAGGCACUGGAACAGGCUGUCCAGAGAAACUGUGGAUGCCCCAUCCUUGGAAGUGUUCAAGGUCAGGUUGUGUGGCGCUCUGAACAAUCUGGUCUAAUGUAAGGUGAUCCUGCUUGUGGCAUGGGUGGUUAGAACUAGAUGAUCUUCAAGGUCCCCUACAAACACAAACCACUCUAUGAUUCUAUGCCACUCUUGCAUGGAACCUCAGUCACGUAUCACGGCCAGGGAAUGAACAUGUGCCUUUGUGAAGCUUUGAGAGCCAAAUGUAGGAGAACCAGCCUAACAGUGGUUCCUCACCUGCUGCCACUCACAUGGCCCCUGGCCAUCUCACACAGAUGUUUUUCUAGUCAGAUGUUCCGAAAGAAAUGCCCUGUCAUGCAUGAGGUUUUGUAGUCUCUUAGUUCUCAUACUCAGUUUCCAUCCUUAGGGUUUAUUUAAAGCUUCUUUGGUGCGAAUGAAAUUGAUUUUUGUCUUGUCCUUAGUGGACACAAAUAGCCAUAAUUUGCAGGGAUCUGUUAACAGAUGCUCCCCUCAUGCAGCGUGCAGUGGAUGCAGGGUCUGCCUGGGUUGGUACCGGCUCAUGGACAGUUAUAUUUAACCUCUUGCAUGCCUCUUUCACACCAACUUUGACUUCCUUGUCUCAGGUGCCGAAUUUAUUUUUCAAUUUUGAUUUAAAUCCUGAUUUACCUUCUUUUCAAGCUGUUUAUACUUAUCAGGUGCAGAUUUUUUGUUUUCUGUUUCUUUAAUGCAUCUCUCUGUAGUUGUAUUUUGGAGAUCAGUGAUCUCUCAGAGCCCUUAAGCUCUUCCCACCAGUUUUUUUUUUUGUAGCUUCUGCCUGCUUUUGUUCCCAACCACCCACCUCAGCAAUCCUCCACUGCUGGGCCCCUCUCACUGCCAUCACAUUGACAUAGCUUCACUAGUCUGUGUGACAUGAAUGACAGUGUCCAUUUCUGUCCAGAUAAAUAUCUAAUACUUUGUGAAGGUUUUUAUCUAGUGAAUUUUUAUAAGAUUUAUUGCUAAUGGAUAGCAAAUAAAAAUGGCAGUAGUUGUUUUUUUUCAACUCCAGUUCUGCAAUCUUCCUGGCUUCUAAUCCCUUGGUCUUUCUGAAACCAUGUGCACGGUCUUUUUUGUCACAAAUGCAGAAUGUAUGUGGUUUACAUAUAUAUGUAUACUCUUAAUUAAAUAUUCUACUGCGUAUUUUUAAUGACUUCAUUCACCGUGAUUAUUCUUUCUGUUUUUAAGUAAUAACUUGAAUUUAAAAAACCCCAAAUCAAUAAAGCUCAAGCUUUAAGAAACCUAAUCUGAAGUGAUAGUUUAAGAUAAUUCAAAAAUGGUUUAAAGAACCGUUUCUUUGUUGUCAAAAAGUUUUAAAUCAGUAUUUCUUGAAAAAUGUGGUUGUCAUUUCAAUGGAACCACAGUAAAACAACAUUCUGAGAUUUCAGUGUUCUUGGUAAUAUUACUCUGUUGGCCUUGUGUCAGACCAGAGAGGCAGGGAUUGCUGUCAGUGGUGUCUGAUCAUCCCUACCUCACCUGGAAAGUGACACAAACAGUGGUUAUGAUGUUUUGUCAGAAAUGAUACCCAGCAUGUCUUUUAUCUUAGGCAAUAGCUGAAAUGUUCUGAGAGUUGCUGACUAGCUGGUAGUUAGGGGUAGAAGGAGAGGUGGGGCUCUGGACUUCCUAAAAUACCCCUCUCUCCACAGGAUCCCAAGCCUUAAAAUGAUCCCAAAUUUUGAGCAUCCUCUUCAGUUUCCUGAUUGUCUUUAACUAGCUUCUCUUUGGGGCUAGAGUGGGUUGCCUCAGUCUGAGGCCUGGCUGGAAGUGGCUGAUGCAGCUGAGGCAUUUUGCGCUGUGUAAGCUCAGCUAAAGUUGCAGAGUAAAUGUUUUCUUCCAAUUAAAGUGUAUUUUCAGUUUAUUUUUACCGCAAUAAGAGAAAGGGUUGCCCUUUGAAGUCAUCAGAGCCCAUCCCUGCUCAGUGAAACUUCCAAUGCAGUCUCCAUAAAGAAGUGGAGGAAAUAAAAUGUUGGCUCCACCUGUGGAGGGGAACUAUGUUAGAGACACACUGGCUGUCAGUACAGAACUGUUUCUUCUUGGGAGCUCUUGGUGAGAGUGGUUUUUAUUAAAAGUGAUGCACAUCCCCACACACUGCUCAUUUCCUGCUUCAGUAGAUGAAUUGUUCUGCAAUGGAUUUAAUUGCAUUGCUUCCUCCUAGCUUCUUGCUGCUAUCCUACAGUCAGCUGGCUCACAGCUGAAGAAUCCUUUAUUCUUAUUAUGUGUGUGUCACUGUUCCACAGUCAGCUGCAGAGGAUGCACACAGAGUGCAUCUCCAGAAAUACUUGUAUUGUAAAUGCAUGAAAUUUGGUAUAAAGCUCAUGGACUGGUGCACUCUGCAUUUCCAUAUGGUUAUCUUCUAAGGUUCUGUACCUAAUAGCUCUCUUGUGAGAAAAGCAGCUUGUAUUCCCUUAAUUCCCAGAGCCACAACUGAUGCUAUUUUUGAGAUGUGUUGCACAGUUAUUACUUGCAUAAGUAAUACGCAUCUGUCUUUGCAGCUUUUGGCUCUUACUCUUAAUCAUUCAAACUUAUAGUAGAGCCAAGAAUUCACCCUGGAUUUUGUGAGGCCUUUGGGUUUUGGCCCUCUUGAGGGACAUGGGUAGGUAAAGUAAUGGCACAGAUGACAUAAACUGACCACGAGUACUUGGUUCUUUCAAGGCAUGUUAAAGCUGUCUCUUGAGCCAGACAAUUGCUUGUAAAGAAACUGACUAUCAUUGUGUCCAUGUUUUGGUUUCCAUUCUCACCAGCCUCCCUGAGGAUUACAGUAGCAUGCCUUCUGUGAGGGUGCCGAGGCACUGGAACAGAUUGCCCAGAGAAGUUGGGAAUGCUCCAUCACUGGAAGUGUUGGAGGCUGGGUGGGAUGGAGCUCUGAGCAUCUUGGUCUAGUGAAAGGUGUCCCUGUGCAUGGAAGGGGGAUUGGAAGAACAUGGUCGUUAGGUCCCUUCCAACCCAAACCAGUCUGUGAUUCCAUGAUCUUGGCAUGCUUGGUGGAGGAAGUUGAUAUUACUGUAACAAUGAACAAAAUAGUUUAAUGCUAUUAAUGUAACAAAGACACUCUGGAAUUUCCUGGUAACAAUGAAGAGUGGAUAUUAAGUGGCACCUAAGUAACACUAAUUAACAGAAUCAUUCUCAAAAAUUAGUCCCUCCUCUUUAGCACCACUAUUUGUAGUGAUAAGGCAUUACUCUACAAAGAACCCAUGCACAGUAUGGCUGUAGCAAUUAAGACAAAUUCUAUUUUCGAUUUUUUUCAAAGCUUAAUGAUGGUACCUUAUAUUUACAAAUGAAAACAUUCAGCUUACUACAUGGUGUCCAACUAAUCUGGCACAGUACCGAACAUACCCUGAAAAUGUCCAUCAGCAGUCUCAAGGAUCUGCUACAUAAACCCUAAGAUGUAAUGAGACAGAACGGAAUUAGUUUAAGUAAUAAAUGUUUAAUCAAAGAAUUUUACAUAUUAUUAACAGCAUUCAUUUGGCCAAACAUCUACAUGGUUGUAGUAUCCUACUUGUAUAUAAAGUGGGAAUGUAUCAAGUAUAGACUAUGAAAGUGCAAAUAACAAUUCAAGGUUAGAGUAAUUUUUUUUACAUUAUAAAAUUAACAGGUUUACAAAAUAGUCUUGCCAAACUUUUAUUUUUGAAUUGUAAAGUCAAUGACUAUGGUGUUAAAAUAAGUACCAAGAAAAUACAAAUUUAAUAGUCUAAUUUCAUGCUCAUAAGAGUAACACGGAAACAAUGGAUAUACUGCACAACCUAACCAAAUUACAUAAAACCAGAACCCACAAACUUCACUAUCUUCACA